UACAGAGGGUGCAAGCGUUGUUCGGAAUUAUUGGGCGUAAAGCGCGUGUAGGCGGCUUUGCAAGUCGGGUGUGAAAGCCCUCAGCUUAACUGAGGAAGUGCGCCCGAAACUGCAUGGCUUGAGUACCGGAGAGGGUGGCGGAAUUCCCCAAGUAGAGGUGAAAUUCGUAGAUAUGGGGAGGAACACCAGUGGCGAAGGCGGCCACCUGGACGGAUACUGACGCUGAGACGCGAAAACGUGGGUAGCAAACAGG
rnacentral:rRNA from 1 species